UGGUAAAAUUGCAACUUUUGGUUGCUUCACUCUCACCUCUUCAACAAAUGAGAGUUCCGUGGAACGUAACUAUCAUAGUUCUAAAAGCCAAGGCUAGGAUCAAUAGGAGUGGUUGUUCCGGAGAAGGUUGCAGUGACAGUUCCCAACAAUCUUCAGAGCUGUUAUACUUAUAUUCUUGCAUCCUGCUGGUUUCACUGUUCCCCAUGCUGUAGCUUUCUUUUCUCCAGACGAGGUAUACCUGCCAAUAUUACUAAUAUUCAUUAUAAGGUGUGAACUGUUUGAUUAUUGGCACAUCAUGGAAAUUGAAAAUAAUGACCUGACAUCAGUUCUGUGAGGCUUAUCACGUGUUAGGUAUUAGACAAUAUCACACAAUCAGGGAAUUGAAGUGCGAAACAAGAUUCUGAUAAUUAUCCAGAAUCAGUACAACAAGGAUUACAAGGUUAAGAAAAAAACACAAUAGGCAAUUCAUGAGUGCCUAUACUCUCCCAGAUCUAACUGUUUUCCAGCCUGCCCACCUAUUCUUCUCCCGCUCACUCAGAUACCCCUCACUCUGCAUAACCCCAUUUCUCAACAGCCAUCUUGGCAGAAAGUUGUAACUCCUAUCCCCUCUGAAGAGUAUCAGUGUAGUGCUUCACAUCUCUUCUUUCUCCCCUCCUAGACUUUAGUUAUUUUGGGCCUUCAAGAUCAGGCCUGUAACAUCGCGGUUAAAGCUAUUUUCACUUCUCCCUCCUGAAAAAUGGUAGAAUGUGGAUUAUUUUUUGUAAAUUUAGCUUGUAUGAAACCCAUAUCAAAUUCAGCAGCCAUAAAACUUGUAUUUCAUUUUGCACUGGGAACUCGCUUGUCUACAAGAUUUCAGUGUCAUCUUGAAACUCUUUUUAUGUUCAUUUCUUGAAUUGUUUUCACAAUCAACUUGGCAUGUAUCUGUUUUGUUAGAUAGUCUACUUGUCAGUUGAUAUAUCAUUAUAUGCAUGUCUUAUUAUGAUUCUUAAUAUGUUGUGUUUUACAGUUUCCAUUUUCCAAAUCGUAAAUUUUGCCCAUACCACCAGUCUCCCAGUUUAAGUUCCUUGCCUCCAUUUUUACAAAAUAUGGUGAAAUUGAGGGAGAUAUAAACCAUUUGGUUGAGCAGUGCUGAUUAUAUAGAGGAAUACUCUAAGUGUAAUUUGUGAUAGAUAAGUAUAAGUACCACCUAAACUAAAACAAAAUUUUACUGCAGAGCUAUAAAACCAACGAUGUUAUGUUGAGAGAAAUGUUGGGUGGUGAUGAGUUGACAAGAAAGAAAUCUCAAUGAUGAAUGUAAGUCUUGGAAUAUUUGGAAUAAAAGUGUAAUCAUAAAGUUAGUGUAGCACCUAUCAUGGAAAAUAUGGUAGUCUCGCUUUUGGUGGUUUGGGUAUGUAGAGAGGAUCAAUUGAAGCACUAAGAAAGAGGGUAGAUCAGAUGGAAGGUAGUCUAAUAGUUUGAAGUAAAAGGAGAUUAAGGAGAAUUAUGGGUCAAACUGUCAAGAAGGAUUUGGGUUUGUGAUUUCACAUUAGACAGAUUUUAUGAUAGUACAUAAUGGUAUUGUCUUAUUCAAUUAGCCUACUCCACCUAGUGGAAAAAGUGUUUGGUGGUGGUGGUGGUUGUGGUUUUUUAUGGAAAUCUGAUGCCGCCUAUGAGAUAAAAAAGUCCUUUGUUUUGAGACAAUGGCCAUCAUUGCUCAAUAGGAUCAUAUAAUUAGGUUUUUAAGUACGUCCUGACAUGUUGCUGUAUAGAUAUUUGUGUUGUGUUGCUCAAGUUUGGAAACAUGACCCGUUUAUUUUGAUGUUGUAAGAGAGCUAUUUUCUCCUUGAAAAAAGUGUUUGUUUGGCAUAUAUGCAUUAUGGACAUUUAGUUACCCGAUCAUUUGGAAACACGAUUUCUUGGUCUGUUUUAAAGGUUUUAGUAGACACGGGGAGAUUGAUAUUCAUUUUUUGGAUGUGAUUCAGUCUUCAGUUCUUUAUCUGGUAGCUUUAUGUUGUGAUAGGGUGGUGAAUCUUGUGAUUUUCAUAAUUCUAUUGUCCUCAUCUAAGCUGUUUGAAGGGAGUUUACAUCUCUGAUUUGCAGAGACUGGACAGUGGUUUCAUACUUUUUUUCAUUCUUUCGUUUUCCUUUCUCCUUGUUUUGGAGGAUAUCUUAUCUUCUAGUUGAUUAUGACUUAUUUUAUCUCUAAUAUAACUUUUCAAUCAUAAAAAGACUUAAUUUGUUCAUUUAUCAUUUCAUUGUAAAUUUGCUUGAAUUUUACAUCCAUCUAGUCCACAUUGUAACAGAGUGGAAGCUAUGUGCAUGCAAGGGGGUUUUCAUUUCAUCAUGUGUAUAGACAUACUAUGGUAAUGGUCUCUGUUGAUAACUUCUUAUUUGCUAUGAUCCUUUCAGUGACUGUUUGAAGUGCUCUGGAUAUAACUUUUUUUAUCUUCCACGUCUGGAAUAUGCAGCUAUAGCUCUGCAGUAUUUUCUUGGUAACCAAGCUGAAACAUCUCUGUAUUCUCUUUUGGUACUGAAAUUAUGUAGCUUUGGCAUAUCAUGAUACUUAUUUUGGUUAGAAGCUAUUCAUUCUGGACAUACUCAAGCAAAUGUUCAAAGCUACUUGCCAUGGAUAAACAAUCAAAUUUAUUGUUAGCCCCAGUCCACUGGCCCUACUGGAAGUUUUCUUUUUAAAUUUUUUUGUCAAACAUAUCUUCAAAGGACCACAACUCAGAUACUACCAUGGCUUAUCAUAUUGGCUGCCUCUCUGAGAAAGUAUGAUUACGCUGAUCAUUAAUUUUGGUAAGCCGGGUACCCUUAAUUGAUGUGGAAUUUAUACGAGCACGAAUCACCAUUUCAUUGAUGUUUACAUAUAUAGCAUUGACACUUCAAGUUAAAGGAUGUCCAAAUCAACAUGUGUUCGUGUACGACCCAGAUAUGUGUGAUUACAUUUAACCACUUUCCUUUUCUCAAAUUAUUAUCGGUAUUUACAUGUUAGUAUCAAUGUUGUGUUUGUGUCGGUGCUUCAUUGAUAGUUCUCCCUUUUGAAGUAUUAACAGGAAGGUAGGGGGUGGUGGAAUGAUUUAUCUUAUAGUUUUUUGUGUUAUUUCCUAGUUUUUAAACUUCAGGAAACCAAUGAGCACAUGGUCUCAUAUCACGUUCAUUGAAAAGAUUCAUUUUCUGGAUGCUGGGAAGUUAUCCUCACCUUGAUUGAUCGUUGCCUGCCACAAGACAACCAGAAAAGUUCAAGAAAGGUAACAUUAUGACCUUUAUGUUUGCAAAAUGGAAUUGCCAGCUGAUUGUAAAUAUUAAAGGAUCUGUCAGCAUGUGAAACACUAAUAUGACAUAGCAAUAUUUCUAAUUUUAAAGCGAUGUUGCCUACACAUCUCUAUCUUCUCUGCAUCUACUAGUUUCUACGUCCAUGCAUAACAGAAAAUAGUUCAAGGGGGGCAACUGAGACUCAUCUGCGAUUGAGGCACAUGUAAAGUUAAAAGGUGUGGUGGAUGCAAAUGUUGCCUUGGUAUUGAAGGCUACUCCAGUGGUCCUGCGAAUGUAAGUAUUCUGAUGGAGGAUGAUGUACUUAUGCUCUAAAACAACAACAACACACUUUCCAAAAAGUGCUAAACAUUGUAAAUGUGUUCAUUAUCGUGAUUUAAAUGCAGGAGUUGAAUCAGUUUUAAUUAGUUAACCUUAUUAAUGAAAACCAAAUACAACUAAGUUCCAUUAUUAA